GAUCCAAGAUAACCUCCCUCCUCCUGUCUGGAUUCGCAGAAUAAAACCUUGUCAAAACAACAAAGGAAAAGUGGCCGGACUUCAGUUUAAGAUGUUUAUACUCUUUUCUUCAUCUUGGAACUAUCUAUUUGAUUUAAAGCUGAUCAAGGCCAUGACAUAGAGAGAAAGAACCCAGACCAAUGAAGACAAGAGAGCUGCUCUUUGUGUGACGCAUUUCCUCACCCAGCCGCAGAUUGCAACAGAGGAGAUGAGAUAAAGAUGAGGAACCUCAACAGAAAGGAUGGAUGUAAACAGUGGGUUUGCUGUGCAGUGACAAGAGCCCAGCUUGGGAAGCUUUUUGAGCUCCCAAGAGGAUGUAAAGGGCACAAGGUCACCUUUAUUGAACUGUUUUCCUGUUGGCCAUCCCUUCUGGGCCCCAAGUUCUGCAUUUGCAGCAUCUGGCACAGUGCUGGGCACAUCCUGAGCUUGAGAAAAGGAACCUGGGCAGGAGGAGAUAAGCCAAUAUAUCUGCCUGUUGAGCCUACAGUUAAAAAUAAUUAUAGAGAACAUGGUGAUGCUUCAGAAACUGUCAGGAUCUUUACUCUUUGUCCAGGAAGCCCUGAACUGUCAUUGGAAAUAAGAUGCCAGAACCACAGAUGUCCUUAG
rnacentral:lncRNA from 1 species